rnacentral:rRNA from 1 species
CCUACGGGUGGCAGCAGUGAGGAAUAUUGGUCAAUGGACGCAAGUCUGAACCAGCCAUGCCGCGUGCAGGAAGACGGCUCUAUGAGUUGUAAACUUCUUUUGUACGAGGGUAAACGCAGAUACGUGUAUCUGUCUGAAAGUACCGUACGAAUAAGCAUCGGCUAACUCCGUGCCAGCAGCCGCGGUAAUACGGAGGAUUCGAGCGUUAUCCGGAUUUAUUGGGUUUAAAGGGUGCGUAGGCGGUCGGUUAAGUUAGAGGUGAAAUCCCGUGGCUCAACCUCGGAAUUGCCUUUGAUACUGUGAGGCUAGAGAGUAGUUGAGGUAGGCGGAAUGUGUGGUGUAGCGGUGAAAUGCUUAGAGAUCAUACAGAACACCGAUUGCGAAGGCAGCUUACCAAGCUACUUCUGACGUUGAGGCACGAAAGCGUGGGGAGCAAACAGGAUUAGAUACCCUUGUAGUC